rnacentral:rRNA from 1 species
UGUAGGCAGUUGGUCUAUGCUUGCGUACACAUUGCGAAAUGCAGAUUUUAGUGAACCAUCAUUUUUCUGAACGCGCAUCGCGCAGCUGGGAUUUCCCCCCCAGCGCGUCUGUUUAAGUGUCU